UACGGGGGGGGCAAGCGUUGUUCGGAAUUACUGGGCGUAAAGGGUUUGUAGGUGGCUUGCUAAGUCAGACGUGAAAUCCCUCAGCUUAACUGAGGAACUGCGUCUGAGACUGGCAAGCUUGAGUGCAGGAGAGGAACGCGGAAUUCCAGGUGUAGCGGUGAAAUGCGUAGAGAUCGGGAGGAACACCGGCGGCGAAGGCGGCUGCCUGGACCGGCCCUGACGCUGAGGCGCGAAAGCUAGGGGAGCAAACAGG
rnacentral:rRNA from 1 species